GACGAACGCUGGCGGCGUGCCUAAUACAUGCAAGUAGAACGCAGUUGCGAACGGGUGAGUAACGCGUAGGUAACUGCCUCAUAGCGGGGGAUAACUAUUUCAAACGAUAGCUAAUACCGCAAACUGUGAGAUGGACCUGCGUUGUAUUAGCUAGUUGGUGCGGUAAAGGCUCACCAAGGCGACGAUACAUAGCCGACCUGAGAGGGUGGUCGGCCACCCCUGGAAUGGGACACGGCCCAAACCUCUAACGGGGGCAGCAGUAGGGGAUCUUCGCAAAUGGGCGGAAGGCUUACCGCGCCACUCCCGGUUAGUUAAAAAGGUUUUCGGAUCGUAAAGCUCUGUUGUUAGAGAAGCGGUAACUAACCAAAAAGGGACGGCUAACUACGUGCCAGCAGCCGCGGUAAUAC
rnacentral:rRNA from 1 species